AUCAUUAUUCAAUUUAACGGCUCUAACGGCUCGGCUUCUAAAACCCUUCCUUCCUUCCUUCUCUGCCUGAAUUCAAACCUAAACCCUAACCUCUCUCUCUCUCUCUCUCUCUCUCUCUCUCUCUCUGUGAAACCCUAAAAUCAAUCACGCAUAUGGCCACUACGGGCUUCUUCCAAACGAAUAUCGACUCGGUUUAUUCACAGAUCAAGCACGAAGAGAAGCAGAUCAGACUCAAUAGAAGAUGGUUGGUGGGGCUUCCUACAUCCAAAUCUAACCCAAAGAAAUUUGGAGGACCCAAUGUCUUGAAAAAUAGGUCUUUACCCGAGUCUUUGCUUAGGGAAGAUGAUAUAUUCUAUGAGAAUGUAAAAACACGUGUUGAAGAAGCCUUUGGAGCAUGUAAAGUCGGAGUGCAUAAUGCUACUAAAGUUGAUUUGGAAAUGUUUGACACACGCAAUUUAACAAGAAUAAUUUUCUCAUGCCUUGAUGAAUUGAAUAAUAGAGGUCUUCACCUUCUUACUCUGAUACUUACAGGAGGCUCAGUAAAGUUUGAGAAAACUCGUUGGAAGAUGAAGAAGGUAAUUGGAGAUCAUAUUCCAAAAGUUCUUAAAAGCCAAAAUUAUAAUCAUAAUCAAAUGGAAAUUUAUAGGCAGUUAUCCCAAAUUCUUAAUGAUCCGCAAAAUUUCCGAAAGAAAUGUGUGACGUUUUUGACUCCCAGAUCCCAGUUUCAUCAUACUGCUGUAACUAAUGUCCUGCAUGGAUUAGAGAACUUGCCUAUUGAGAUCCUGAUUGCAAUGAACAGGAAGCUUAAAGGUUCCAAAGUAAGCAUGCCUCAGUUGUCCACUCGCAAAAGUGGAUGGAAUCGAAAUGAUUUAAUUAUACGAGUGAGGAAUACUAGUGAAAAAAUGCUUUCAGAACUUGGUGUAGGGGAUGAGCUACAAGAGCCAUUAGCCAAAGCAAUGGCAAUACCAGGCUUAUUGCUGAAGAUAACACCAGGUUUUCAAAAUUCCUCCAUAACAGAUUUCUAUCCAGUCUCUUCAGAAAUAAGAACCUUGCAGAAUGAGAUAUCGAAGGCUAUUUGGUUACUAAAGACAAGGGUUAGGUUUUCAGAGUUGAAGAACUUGCAGCUUCUGCUAGACCCAAGUGCAAAAGUAUCAAAUCGGAGUUUACGCACAGCAAUAAGGAAAAUGUUAACUGUAUAUCUUGUUGAGUGCAGUGAUAUGGAUACCAUUCCAAAGUCGCUAUUGGAAACUCUUGCUGUUAUUAAUAGGUAUUCUCGAAGUACACUGCUUGGAUGCUUCAGAAAGGAGGAAAUUGGGGAGGAAAUUGAAUUAGAAACAGAAUGCAUAUUGAGUGUCAGUGCCCAGACAAAGCAGAUUGUGUUAGAUUUGCUGCCUGACCAUGAGUUUGAUGAAGAUUUUACUGAUGCGUAUAUGGAGGAGCUAGAAGAAAGUGAAGAUGAUGACAAUGAUGAUAAUAGUAGGAGCUCUCAGAGUAGUAGGUCUCACUGUAUGGAUUCAGAUUACCAUGUUGAAAGUACCGCAGAUUCGAUGCCCUUUGAUUACAAGUCACCUACAUCUGCAACUAAGGAGAAUGGAUCUUUCCAUUUCCUUACACCUGGAAACUGUUUAAAUGGUGCUUCUGUUGAGAGACCUGCACCUAAGGAAUUUACCAGAGUGGAUUCUGUUGAUCCUCUUGGUAUCAUUUCCUCUCCAUUCAGGGAAUCAAGAUCACUUAGCAGCACAAUUAACUUUAAUAUGAACCAACACAACUUUGAAAGCAUGAGUGAAUCCAACAUGCAUAGAACAAAAGGAAUUGAUUUUUGCUCACCUUUUUCACCAAAGGAAAGGUCAGGUGAAAAUUCUAUUGAGAGACAUGAUACUGAAUUUGACUCUGGAGUAGAUACAGCAAACCCACCUCCUUCUGUUUCUAAUUUGUCAUGUGUGAAUCCAAAAGCUACAAAUGGCAAGCAAAGUACAUGUAAGAACCAGUACCUUGCCAUCCAAGAAGUUUGUGAUGAAACAAGCAUGGUUGCCUAUAAUCUCAUUGGUCACUUGCUGGAGGAGUUUGCACAAGUAGAAGGCUUGGAUUUGGACUGGAGAGAUACUUUGUAUCUCAGAGGUGAUAAUUCAAUUGAAGAAGAUUCCAAAGAGGAAGAAAAAGAGAAGCCUGCAUCUAAGGCUGAUAAUGGAAGUUCAGUUAUUGUUCGGGUAGUUGAAGAGCUAAUUCCUUCCUUUCCUAAGAGUGGAAUGGAAAGAUUGAAGAUAUUGAUGGGCUUGUGAUAGCAUUUUUUUAGGAGUUGGUGGUACCUUUUUGAACACCCCCGAAGAGUUGUUCUGAAGUGCAUUUUGCAUAUGUUUACAAGCUUGCCCUGCUCCCAAACAUGGAGGCCACCCGUCUUGAGUCUUGUGGGUUGUGAGCUUUAUCAUGUGAUUGCGAAUCCUGUAUAGAUGAAGUUACCCAUAGUUAAUCUUCUGGACAUUCAAACUGGCUCAUUUCUAACACUGCCCGGAAAAGGAAGAUGUCAUAGGUGCCUUCAUAAGAGCUGAUAUCAUGAUUUAAACUUUAAAUCCUAUUGCUGUCUGUGUAUAAUGAGAAAUUUAUGCUGUGUAUCUAUUCAUUUAUUAUUUGUUCGUUUGUACAUGCAUAAUAAAUAAUAAUGCUCACUGGAUGUACAGCCGAUUUCAGUAUAAUUUAUAGCAGUUGCUUUUGAAUAAUUUA